AGCACGAUUCUUUGUCUUAUGGUCUUCAAAGAAUGAAUCCCUAAAAAUCAUAAGCUUUUCCGAUUUCUCAAUCAAUGUCAAAAGUUUCGAUCAUCAAUCGAGUCUCCGUAUAUCUAAUUUCCAUAUCAUAUUCGGGAUUUCUUCAAAGAGAGAUCUUGGGCUAUCACUGUGGUUAUACGAACUUGCAUGAAUAAUGAUUGGAUGAUGAUUUUGUAUGAGGAAGACGAUUUACAAAAGAAGGCAAAAUAUUCGAGUUGAUUUCAAUCUGAGAAGACAAAUUUGAUGUCCUUUAGUAGCCAUAACGGAAUCUGGAAGCUAUUUUAAAGGAUCUCAUCAGAGUCUUCUUCGAUUGUUGGAUCAUAACUGUUGUGAGAUGUUUUUUUCUCCUUUGCGAAAGACUUAGGGAACCUCAGAUUGUUUCUUGAAUUGAUGGAGGACUCCACUUUUUCCCCUUUUUUUCUGGUGGCUUAUGUGGAUUAAGUGGAGUUUGGUUAACCUCGCUGUGAAGCUGUGAUGUAUUGAUACUGUUCUGCACAUCUUGAAAAGGUCUUCUCUGUGUCCUUGCUGUUUUUUUUGCUGAUCUUACACUCGUAUUAUAAGUAACUGUAGACUCAAAUCAUAAACCAGUAUGGUUGUAUAUUAGUUAGCAUAAAAUGUAGAUGCUAUAUUGUUGGAAUAUAAAUGUUUACAUACCUACUGUUUCCUUUUGUAUGGUUGCAGAAGAAGAAGGACCAGUUACUGUCUCUAAGGCAUCAGAAUCACACAUCUGGGCUGUUUUAGCUACUAAAAUGGGGCUUAUAUAUGAAGAUUCAUCAGUACAAAUCACAGGGCUUAAUGUCAGCAAGAGGGGUGAAUGCUUGAACAGCUGCCAUUUUCUUCGAGAAAUAGUGAAGUGGUAAUGGUAAAGCUUUGAAAGAUUCGGAAAUUUGAAGUAAAAGAGAUUAACGAUGGGCCUGUAGGAAAUAUCUAAGCCCAAUAGGAAAUAUAGAAUCUCAUCGGGUCAGAUUCACAGACGCAAAAGAUCCGAGUGUAGGAUCCGAGAUCCGCGUCUCGCCUGCGGGAAUUUUACAAUUUUACCCCUCCACGCAAAUUUUUAUUUUGUCUUUGAAAUUUUAAUUGUAAUGGCAUUCUCUUGUAAUUAUUUACACUUUGUAAGGUUAUUUUUCAUGUAAUCCUUCCCAA